CAGGGCUGCAAGGAAAUCUGGAGCAGUUCAAUACCUCGUCUAGCCUGCUUUUGUGCCUCUCAUAUUUAGUGACAAACUCAUGGCUACAUUUCUUUCUCAGAACAGAAUACCAUGCUGGCUGGGAGUGCUAUUUCUACACUAAACGUGUAUUUUGAGCUAUAGAGAAGUUGCUCUCCUGUCUGCACCAGCUACAACUUUUUUUGGACAAAGAUCCAACUACAAAAAGUCUUUAACCUAACAGUUUGGGACUACUCUGUUUCUUUCACUAGGAUAAAAAAAAACCCAUAAAAGGACUGUCCAGGCAAGAUUCUGCCUUCUGUGAACAUAUCUGUAUACUCAUCCUGGAGCUGAAAACAAUCCUAUGUACCAUGCACAUGGGGAGAGCAUGCCUAAGGUAGCUUUUAAAAAAAUUUUUUAAUACAUAUAGAAAUUUCUUCCAGAUAGUUUUUAAAAGUCUGAGCUGGGGGGGGGGGGGGGAAACUAAGUCAAAUAAUGUCUGUUCUAGGAUAAGGUAUAUAAAGGCAUCCAGAUCCACAAAACAAAACAAGAAAAGUAUCAGCAGUUAUUAGACUUCGAAAAUGAAGCAGCUGCAUAGCAUCAAAAGGGCAAGCUCUGUUUCUUUGAAAUACAGAAUCCUGUUGGGCGGUUUUGUGUUCGAUACAGUAAUACAUUCUGAUCACUUAAAAAAAAUAAAGUGACUUUUACUUAAGACUUAUUUAUCUCCGGAGCAAUCAAUUAAUGUAUAAACCUUCCAAACACACUAAGAAUAUUGGCUAUUAUAUAAUUCAGUGUUUCAAACCCUAAGCACAUUUUCCAAAAUAGCAAUCAGCUAUUGUUCUACUAAAAAGAACUGAAUGGCAUGUUCUGCCCUAGGAUGCAGUACUGAGGUAUGGAUUGGAUAGAAAGUUUUGAAACAAUUUUUGGCUAUUCUUCCUGUCUAAUGUGCUGGCUUGAAAUGGUCUUACUAUCAUCAGCGGUCCUGGACCAUAAACAAAAUACAACAGCUAAAUGUAAUACAUUUAUGUUCAAUAAUCAUGAAUGACUGUAAAAAGAAGUGCAAGUUUAGAGUGAACUGGAAGUGUUGUGUCUUAGUGUUAAGAGGAAGAUGCCCUAUACCUUUCCUCUGGGAAACAGUUAACUGUACCAUCUGCACACCCAAAAAUAUAAAUUAUAUGCUUAGUAUUAUGCUAAACUUGUUCUGAGAAUAGAAAUAUAAUUAGUUACAAAAUCUUGAGUUGACAGUGAAGGUGACCUGUCAUUAAGAAAACUGGGUGUGUUCAAAUUGUAUACAAUUUGGUUUUGCAACACCACAUUAUUCAGAUCUAUGGUUAACCACAAUUUUACACAAAAACUCCACACGGUCCUUGAGAUGAGAUGCCAAAACAUGAUUAAGGAUAACAGAAUGUUCAGUAGGUGGUGCGAUUAAGAAGAAUGGGCACGGAGCCGCAUGGAUUGCACUAACAUGCCUCCUUAUUUGCUAUUAGAGAGUCUACUUAUGACAGGCUCCUCCACAUCAUGACUCGGUGACUAAUUAUAAACUGUAGGACAUCAGCUAUGUCCUUUGAUGACAACUCUGUUAACCAUGAUGAACAUCGAAAAUGACUAGCUUGUUCAUUUUGUAAAGACAUUAAGGCAGAGUCAGUGAGGUAUCAUAUGUCUGCUAAAAAAAAAACAAUGGAUUACAAUCUGAAGUUUUCCUUUUCUCCCCCCACCAAUUCUUGAUACUGUAAGUUGGAACCAACAAAUCUAAGAUUCCUCAGAAUAAGUAUCUUGCCACAUUGAUUUCCCACAUUAUUUAAUUUCUCCUGGCUUCACUGAAGACAAGCCACACUCACUCACUUGGAUAGGAAAUGGAUAUCUAGUUUUCAAAACAUUCAGAAAUUAUCCAGUACUUUCACUAAUAACUUACUACCUAACGUCAGAUUUCACUGAUAGGAGGACUUCAGAGAGACAAGAUGGGCGAGGUAAUCUUUUAGUGGACCAACUUCUGUUGAUGAGAGAGACACAAGCUUUUGAGUUUACACAGAGCUCUUUGGGUCUUCGGCUUGGGCUCUGAAGCCUGGGGAUAGGAGUGGGUUUGGGAGCCUGAGCUCCAGCCUGAACCAUAACUCCUACACUGCUGUUUUUAGUACUGUAGCUUGAGUCCCAUGAGCGUGAGUCUGUAGACCCAGGCUCAGCCUUGCUGCUGUGGGUUUUAAAAUGCAGCGUAGACAUACCCAGUGUUUCUAAGCCCAUGCUUGAACAUCCACACUACAUUGUAAACCUGUGUUUACAAUUGCUGGACCUGAGUCAAACAGCCAUGCUAACAUGUCCAUACUGCACUGUGUAGACCUGCUGACUCGGAUCAGUGGCUUGACCUGAGUCACGGCAGGGUUCAGGCUCUGACCCAUCCCCCACCAGGGUCCUAGGACCUGGGUCCUGAAAAGCUUGCUGACCCAAGUCAGACUGAUUUGUGUGUCUGGAUGGAAGAGGGAGGUUGGGCUCAAACGUGAGUCAGUGACUGGGCUUGUGUACAGGGUAGACAUACCCUAUGCUCCUGGCUUUGCAGAAGCAUUCCGUCUCUGGUCAGCCAGGCUGAACUGAAAUCUUGCCUAACUUGACAAAAAAAUUCUACUUUUUCAUGGAAGGCACUUCUGUUUAGAGUCUGACCUAUCAAUAACUCAUGACGCAAUUACAGUGUGCAUGUGUGUUUAUGUAUGUAUAAUAAUGGAUAGUUACAGCAGGUGAGUUUUGAACAAGCUAUUUUCUAUUUAACCCAGAGUUUCAGAUUUAUGGUUCUUUGAAAGGAGUCUGAAAUACAGAUCUUUAAUAUGGCAGCAUGUUAAUAGAUUUGUAGGCAAGAUGCAGCCCAGAGAAAUCUAGAUUCUAGUUAUAGAAUCUGAUACAUCAGAGUUUUCCAUAGAUUCUUUUUUCUGGUAAAGAGUCAACUAUCAUGUGGCUUUAGCUUUUUCUGUUCACUGAAUAUCAAGGUCAAUUAGGAAUGAUGUCUGGCUAGUACUCUCAGAGCAGAUUAGACAGUUGCAUCAAAAAUUAGGACCAUGUAUAGGUCAUCUGUUACUGUGACCUAGAUUUCUGUAGAAUCUGUUCUAUUUGUUUUAUUGAAAAUACUGUACUCAGUUCAGUUUCCCUUAGCAAACCUUUUCCAUUCUAUUAAGAAAACAUGGCUCUGUUUGGUUAUUUAAAGACCACACUUACUUCUUAAAAACAUACGAAGCAGUUCCAGGUAGACCGUCUUGUGCUCGUCAUCCAUUUAAUUUUAAAAUAACUUUAGGUUCCAAAGAUUUAUGCAUUAUAAUGUAAAACAUUUGUUCCAUAUGCCAAGAGCAAUACACUUUGAAAUACAUAAUGGCUUAACAGCUGCUUUAUUUGCCCUAUUUAAUACAUUUCUUCUGGUGAAUCCAAUGAAUGGAUGCAUUAUAUUUGCAACUGUACUUAGCAAACAAAAUGGUUGUUAGAAA